rnacentral:tRNA from 1 species
UCCUUGAUCGUUCAGUUGGUAAAACAUCUGCCUGCAAUGCAGAAGACCCCAGUUUGAUUCCUGGGUUGGAAAA